rnacentral:rRNA from 1 species
CUUGGCGGCAAUAGCGAGUUGGAACCACCUGUUCCCAUCCCGAACACAGAAGUGAAACAGCUCAGCGCCGAUGAUAGUGUGGCGUUAGCCAUGUGAGAGUAGGACACUGCCAAGC